GAUAUUAAGCCCCGAAGUUGACGAAAUUGGCCACUUGGCCAUUUCGAGUGCCGUUUUGGAAACAAUUUUGUCAAACGCGACCUCUCAGGGUGCAACAGGGGAACAACGUACGCGGUUCAAACACCGUGAUCUUACUUUCACAUAUACAUACUACAAAAUUAGCGUAGGACAUCUUUAAUAUUAUUUUUAUAUCAAGUGAUAUUAAGCCCCGAAGUUGACGAAAUUGGCCACUUGGCCAUUUCGAGCGCCGUUUUGGAAACGAUUUUGUCAAACGCGACCUCUCAGGGUGCAACAGGAGAACAAGAUACGGGGUUCAAACCCCGUGAUCUUACUUUCACAUAUACAUACUACAAAAUUAGCGUAGGACAUAUUUAAUAUUAUUUUUAUAUCAAGUGAUAUUAAGCCCCGAAGUUGACGAAAUUGGCCACUUGGCCAUUUCGAGUGCCGUUUUGGAAACAAUUUUGUCAAACGCAACCUCUCAGGGUGCAACAGGGGAACAACGUACGGGGUUCAAACACCGUAAUCUUACUUUCACAUGUACAUACUACGAAAUUAGCUUAGGACGCUUUUUUGCUUCGCGAGUGUCGUUUUGAAAGCAGUUUCUUCAAACGCGACCUCUCCAUGUACGCCCUUUCACCAGGAUUAAAGGGGCUUCGCACGUUUUAACGGGCUCGAUCUGCUGCCGAACGUUGCGGUAGCCUCUGUUACAAUCCCAGUACAAGCCGUUCAUAGAAUCUUUUUGGCACCAUGAUACAUAUCAUUUGAGUCAUUGUAAAGGGCCCUGCUGCCGCAUUUUCCAAAUUUUGCGGUGGUUUCCGAUGCAAUCACAGGAGAGGGGCAUAACAUAGGCCGUCAUGUCUUUGUAUGUGUGUAAAAUGUCUGUCACCAUGAUUAAAGGGGUUUUUUUUUGGUUUUAAAGGGCUCUGCUGCAACCUUUCAUGGAGUUUGCGGCCGCAUCCGUUAUAAUUCCAGUAGGAUGACAAUAGCAUAAGCCGGUACGUAUACUUAUAUGACUUUGGAACUAUGACACAAGGGAUAUCGACCGUUUUAAAGUGCUCUGCUGCCGCGUUUUCCGUAUUUUGCGGUAGUCUCUGUUACAAUCCCAGUAGAAGGGCAUAGCACAAGCCAUUGAUGACAUGUCAUCGGCAGCAUGGGGUGUCGCCCGUUUUGAAGGGCUAUGCUGCAUCCUUUUCCGAUAUUUGCGGUCGCCUGUGUUAUGAUCUCGGUGGAAUGACAUAGUAUAAGUUGUUGAUAAUAGGUCUUUGGCAGCAUGACACAAGGGGUUUUGCUCAUUUAAGAGGGCUCUGCUGCCACGUUUUCCGAAUUUGGCGAUCGCCUGUGUUAUAACUCCAGCAGCCACACAAGCCACUGAUAACUUUCUUUCUUUCACUCGAUGAUACAGGGAGUGUCGCACGUUUUGAAAAGGCCUUGCUGCCGCCGUAUCCAAAUUUUGCGGUCUCCUCUUGCGCAAUUCCGGUAGAAAGGCAUAGCGCAAGCCGUCAUGAAUAUGCUUUUGGUACCAUGAUACAAGGGGUUUUGUACGUUUUAAAGGACCCUGCUGCUGCCUUUUCCGAAUUUUGUGGUCGCUUCUGUUGCAAUCCCUGUAGAAGAGCAUCAUAAGCCGCUGAUAAUAUCUGCUUGGAACCAUGUUUAAAGAGGUUUCGUCCGUUCUAAAGGGCUCUGCUGCGGUCUUUUACGGAUUUUGCGGUCGCCUCCGUUACAAUCCCAGUGGGAAGUGCAAUAGCAUAAGCCGCCUCGAAUAUGCCUUUGGCACCAUGACACAGAGGGUUUUGCCCGUUUUAGAGGGCUCUGCUGGCGCUUUUUUCAAAGUUUGCGGUCACCACUGUUAAUAUCCCAGUACAAGGGCCUAGUAUAAGUCGUUGAUAAUGGCUUCGCUAUGCAGAAUACACCAGUGACUCUUUGUGGUGUAUUCCUUGGUUGCCCCUGCCAUCGUCGGGGUUGCAAAAAGGUUACUUUUUACUUUUCUCAAAGAAGUUGGCAAGUAAUGCAAUGUUUCAGAAGGAGACUGUGGGUUAUUUCUUGCAGGUCGACGUGUAAGUCUCCACUUGUCUCCACUAUUACUUCUCAAUUAUCAUAUUACUUACAGUGUAGUUUAUCAAAAUGCACGUUCAGACCAGAUCGGUAUAACUACUUGUUGAGGUUCCUGAGUCAUAAGAACUGCUCGAAUAUGAAUGUACUUCCAAACGUCGACAGGAGCAGCUUCACAUCGAGCAAGGGGGAAAACAAUGCCUGAAAACCUGGUUUCAUUCCGAAUUCUUCAUUAUUGGUGUGUGUGUGUGUGGGGGGGGGGGGCUGCUUUAUUCUAUUUAGUGGUCAAGAGCCCUCCGGGCACAGAAUAGCUGACUGCAAGCCAUGCACAUGCGGCCCGCGUGUGUGAGAGCCCUGAUUACUCUGAUCUAAGCAUUGCUUCGUCUUAAGCGAGAAAUAAAUAAUGUACUCGAGGGCGCGUAGCACUUGUUUAGCGUUAUCUCCAAAUCUGCUUAUGAACAACUGUAUUUUUGACGUUGGGGUGUCUAAUCGCCACCGGCGAUAUUCUACCCUGUUCUAGUUUCUACUUCCCUAUACAGGUUUUAAGUGUUUAUACGUGUUUAAAGGUUCAUGCGAAUUGUGUUCGCAUGGACCUUUAAACACGUCACACCUAACCCUUUAAAUACCAUGCCAAUGAUGAGGACGGUGCCCAGAAGAAGAACAGUCUCUGUUCGAAAUAUCGGCGGCUUCUGUCCUGAGGCAACUCCCUUCCUACAUGUACUCAAUGUACUGCUUGCGACACAUUCGUCUAAUAUCCACAAGCCACGUAAAAGCGGGUUACCGAUUCAAGUUGCUGUGCUACCGUCGUGUUCGCGUCACUCUGUUCCCCUGGUGGCGGCGGGGCUGCGCAGCGCCCCCAGACGGGAGAGAUGGCGAUCUGAUAACCGCGUGUCGUCUGCUAGCUCCAAAUCCGUGGACGGGGCAGCGAUUUCCUCGGAAUGCGGCGUAGAAUGGGAAUUGUUUUCUUUUGUUCCUGUUUACUCUUUUUGAAACGUACUAAGCGAGGAAAGCACUGCCACGUAGACGCGUUUGGAGCUAGCAGAUGACGCACGGUGUGAUACGAUGAGGAUGUGACACGCUCAUGUGUCAUCCCUACGCUGUGCCGAUGAGAGCCAACAAGCUCGAAGCUUCGCUCCCGUAAUACGAUAUCGCCAGUCGAACCGUCGCGAACCAAAAAGAAAGGCCGCAGCUCAGGAAUGCGUGUUUGCUAUAGACCGUUUACAGCAGAGUUAUCUGGGCGCCGCCAUCUUAGCGCACGUGACCUUGCGCGCCACUGCUUGCCUUCUCUUUCGGCUGCUUGUUGGCACGCCGCACGUAGUACGGCGGUGCAACCCAGAGACGCUUUCUCCUAUUUUAAAUUUUUGCAAUGAUUUCCGGAUGGAAGGAUGACACGAGGCUUUGGCCGAAGCUUCAGCGGUCAGAUUUCAGGUGUAUACAACCACAUGAUCAACGAGCUAGAGGGAGACGGAAAGCCUGCGCAGAACUACAGAGAAUUUGCAAAGGGAACGAAGCUGUUUGACAGCGGCCAUGUCGGUGUAUAGUACUGUGCCAGUGCAACGAUGGUGUAUGAAUGGGCCGACAUCAGGUCGAUACAAACAGUGAGAAGAACGUGUAGUACAGAGACUCGCUUCGGGCCCACUUUGGCGGCAACAUGCACAUAUAAAGCGGGUUUGAGCAGCA